GAAGAUGGAGAGACACGGCAGCUGAGUAAUUUUGUUUCCCGUCAUCUGUUAAACACCGCACCAUCUGUCAAUUCCACCCUCAGCCUCCCACCCACUACCCAGAGGCCAGCGUGGGGGAGGAGGCCAUUUUCUUAGAGUCUGAGCCUUCAGGCCCACUCCCACAAAAAGACUCAGAGUACCCACAAAAAGCUCAUUUUUCAGCUCAGAACCAACAGCUGUGGACUAGAAUUACAGGGGGCAGCACAGGAACAAGAUUAAGGACUUUCUGAGGUCAGAGGUAUAACGCAAGAAUACUCACAGGGUAGCAGAGAGCACCUGACUGCCCUGGUACAGGAAGCCACUCACCCCGGUCCGCUGGUGACACAGACAGCCGUGCUGCCCAGGACCCAGAAAACCUCACCUUGUGGCACAGAAGGUGCCCGCUGCCUCCCUCUCUUGUAGCCUUGCUGACUCCGACAAACCUGUGUUUGUCUCAGAGGCCAGCUCCUGCAGGACUGAACUACGCCUCCUUCCCCUAACCGUCACUGCCACCAGUCCGAUGGCCUGACUCCUCAGCACAGUGAGCCUUGGGGUGCCGAGAGCAGGCCUCCUCAAAACCCUGGAGGGGCUGUCACUAUAGGGAGGGGAUACAUUGUGAGAAUUCUGGAAUCACAGGGACCAUUGGACAACCUGAGGGUAACUGACUUCUGCAGGGGUCAGGAGGAUGCCCCAGAGUCAGUGGCUUCUGGGCUGGGGUUGGAGGGAGGAAUAAAAUAAAAGUUCACCAGGGCCGGAGGCUCGGCCCCAGGGAGGAUUAUUUGAGGCCUGAAGUUCUGGACCAGCCCAGGCAACACAGUGAGAUACCAUCUCUGAAAAAAAAAAAUUAAAAUAUUAGCCAGCUGUGGUGGUACGUGUCUGUAGUCCUACCUACUCUGGAGGCUGAGGCAGAAAGAUUGCUUGAGCCCAGGAGUUGGAAGCUGCAGUGAGCUAUGAUUGUGCCACUGCACUCCAGCCUGGGUGACAGACUGAGACUCCAUCUCUAAAAAAGUUUAAAAGUUCACCAGAGAAGGAAGAGAAGUGGUGCUCCAGGAAGAAGGAGCAGUGUGUGCAAAGAUGGGAGUGUGAAAGUCCAGCUGCAGCCUGGGGAAGCAUGGCAAGUGUGAUGUACCUGCAGGAAGAGUGUUGGAGGGGAGGAGUUGACUGGGAUAUGGAGGGGAACCAUGUGUGAAGGGAGUCUGAAGGGACACAAAUACCAGGUCAAGGAAUUUUGACUUGAGUUUGUUAUAACAAAUUGAAGUAUCUGCAGGAAGGGGUAGACAGGAACAAAAAUGGCCAAACACAUGAAGCUGACAAGAAGUAAAAUAAGAAGGCAAGGGCCAGCCUAAGUGAUAAAAAGGCCAUUCACUCAUCUGGGCCUCAGACCUGGGAGACAAUAGGGAUUGGUGAGGUUUCCAGAAUUCCCUCAAUGGUGCAUAGGUAAGCCCCAGGGAUACCUUGUAAAGGCCACAGUUGUUACUCAGCCCCAGCCACUUGUUGCCAUCCAAGAAUGCAAACAUAUUGCCAGUGUUUUCAAGAAAAUUUAAAAAUAGAGCGAUGUGCACUAUUUAAAAAUAGUGACUGGAGCCUGUAAUCUCAGCUACUCAGGAGGCUGAAGCGGGAGGAUCACUUGGGCCCAGGAAUUAAGGCUGCAGUGAGCUAUGAUUGCACCACUGCACUCCAGCCUGAGGGACAAAGCAAGACUCCGCCUUAAAUUUUUUUUUUUUUUUUUUAAACAGGGUUGCACUCUGUCACCCAGGUUGGAGUACAAUGGCACCACGCCACUCAGCUUACUGCAGCCUCUGCCUGCUGGGCUCAAGCAAUCCUCCCACCUUAGUCUCCUGAGUAGCUGGGACUACAAGCACACACCACCACACCUGGCUAUGUUUUUUUGUUGUUGUUUCCUUUUUUUUUUUUUUUUUUUGUAAAGACGCGGUUUCGCCGUGUUGCUCAGGCUGGUCUCUAAUUCCUGGGCUCAAGUGAUCUGCCCACCUCGCCUUCCAAAGUGCUCUGAUUACAGGCGUGAGUCACUAUGCCCAGCCAAAAAAAAAUUUUUUUUAAUAAAUGUAGAUUUUGGUGUUGCCUCCUGGCUUUUAAAUCUUGACAACUAUUUUUAAAAAAGUUUAAUUAUGUGAGUGCCCUAACUACACAGGACACAAACAUAAUGGGACUAGAUUUGGCCCACUGGCCACCAGUCUUCAAUGGCUUCAGAGUUGCUGGAAAGCUAUUGGAAGUUGUGC
rnacentral:lncRNA from 1 species